ensembl:lncRNA
CCCUCCCUCUAUCAUAGCUCUCUAUCACAUUAUUUUAGGUGUGCAAAAGUUUGUUCCAUUUAACUACCAUUAUCUGUCAAAAAACAAACAUAUAAAAAAAUAAACUAAGAGAAAAUAAAGAGCUAGUCUGGUAGUUAUAGUUACAUAAUAGUUGGAAGUGCCUGUAGCAGUGUGGAGGGUUAGGACCCCAGAGGUCUGCCCUGGAAAGUGUCUGCCCUGGAAAGUGCCUGUAGCAGUGUUGAGGGUUAGGACCCCAGAGGGCCGCCCUGGAAAGUGUGUGUACAAUGUAAACCCCAAGGCAUUUUUAACUUAAAUCAAUGAAAUGUCACUUUUACUUCAAAUGUUUAUGUGGUGCUGACUCAAAACGAAAUGAGAAGUCACAUCAACUCUUUUAAGUUAUGAUAACAAAUCAACUUUUUUUCCCCCAGCAUGCUCUACUGCAGACAGAUUUUUUCAAAUAGUUUUUCAUAUGUGUUUUUGCAUAUACAUUGAGUGAUUGAUUAAUCUUAUGCUACACAAAGAUACAUUUUAAAAAAAUCUAAAAUAAUCCAAUCAUUUACUUAGAUUUUUUGGCAGCCAUUUCUGAAAUGGUUGUUCCAGUUUAAAUUGUUUCUAACCCUGACAGUCAUUAUAAAUGCAGGUUGCGGGUAAAUUAAAAUGUCAACUGUUUUACACAUCACUUUGCAAGCCCGCCUAAUGUGAUUUGCAGGUAGGGAUGGCAAAAAUUGGGUACGUUGUGCGGAAAUCCUUCAACCAGGAUUUUUGGAAAAUCAAGUAAUUUUGGGAAAGAUUCCAGAAGUUUGUAACCCUAUUUGCAGGCCUGAUGUGGCCUGUACCAUGAGUUUCAGGCCACUGUAUUAGGGUAACACUAGGCCUCAAAAUAAGGCCUUAUGAGAUAAGUAAUAAAGACUAAUUAUAAUGAUAACAUUUAUCUUGGAAUUCAAUUGGUGAAGGUCACAGGGCAAAUAUAAAAGGAAUGAAUUCAACAACCAUGUCACUAACAAAUACAGUCAUGGGUGGUAACUCUACAAUUCCCUCAAAAAGGCAAGGCAUACUGGGAAAUUCUAUUGGAGGCAUGGGUUAGAGGUUCCUGUAAGUCACUCUAGAUAAGAGCAUCUGCCAAAUGACUAAAAUGUAUAUAUUAAGUGCAAAGAGUUUCCUCAAAAGUUUUGAGUAAUGACAGCACAUUGGGGCUUACAGUGUAGCUGUGGAGGGUUAGGACCCCAGAGGGCUGGCCUGGAAGGAGCCUGUAGUGGUAUGGAGGGUUAGGACCCCAGAGGGCUGGUCUGGAAGGAGCCUGUAGCGGUGUGGAGGGUUAGGACCCCAGAGGGCUGGCCUGGAAGGAGCCUGUAGCGGUGUGGAGGGUUAGGACCCCAGAGGGCUGGCCUGGAAGGAGCCUGUAGUGGUAUGGAGGGUUAGGACCCCAGAGGGCUGGCCUGGAAGGAGCCUGUAGCGGUGUGGAG